ACGAUAACGGCGUCGAGCGGCGGACGGGUGAGUAAUGCCUAGGAAAUUGCCCUGAUGUGGGGGAUAACCAUUGGAAACGAUGGCUAAUACCGCAUGAUGCCUACGGGCCAAAGAGGGGGACCUUCGGGCCUCUCGCGUCAGGAUAUGCCUAGGUGGGAUUAGCUAGUUGGUGAGGUAAGGGCUCACCAAGGCGACGAUCCCUAGCUGGUC
rnacentral:rRNA from 1 species